rnacentral:rRNA from 1 species
AUACGGAGGAUGCGAGCGUUAUCCGGAUUUAUUGGGUUUAAAGGGAGCGUAGGUGGGAUAUUAAGUCAGCUGUGAAAGUUUGGGGCUCAACCUUAAAAUUGCAGUUGAUACUGGUUUCCUUGAGUACGGUAUAGGUGGGCGGAAUUCGUGGUGUAGCGGUGAAAUGCUUAGAUAUCACGAAGAACUCCGAUCGCGAAGGCAGCUCACCAGGACGGAACUGACACUGAUGCUCGAAAGUGCGGGUAUCAAACAGGAUUAGAUACCCUGGUAGUCCGCACAGUAAACGAUGAAUACUCGCUGUGUGCGAUACACUGUAAGCGGCCAAGCGAAAGCGUUAAGUAUUCCACCUGGGGAGUUCGCCGGCAACGGUGAAACUCAAAUGAAUUGACGGGG